rnacentral:rRNA from 1 species
CCUACGGGAGGCUGCAGUGAGGAAUAUUGGUCAAUGGACGAGAGUCUGAACCAGCAAAGUAGCGUGAAGGAUGACUGCCCUAUGGGUUGUAAACUUCUUUUAUAUGUGAAUAAAAUGUUCCACGUGUGGGAUUUUGUAUGUACCAUAUGAAUAAGGAUCGGCUAACUCCGUGCCAGCAGCCGCGGUACUACGGAGGAUCCGAGCGUUAUCCGGAUUUAUUGGGUUUAAAGGGAGCGUAGGUGGAUUGUUAAGUCAGUUGUGAAAGUUUGCGGCUCAACCGUAAAAUUGCAGUUGAAACUGGCAGUCUUGAGUACAGUAGAGGUGGGCGGAAUUCGUGGUGUAGCGGUGAAAUGCUUAGAUAUCACGAAGAACUCCGAUUGCGAAGGCAGUUCACUGGACUGCAACUGACACUGAGGCUCGAAAGUGUGGGUAUCAAACAGGAUUAGAUACCCUGGUAGUC